GGCUGAGUCAGGGGUGAAAAAAUUCAGCCUAAACAUCAAGAAGACUGGAAAAGGUGUGCUCCCUAAAAAUGAAAAAGGUCCAUAUUACUAAUGCUAAAAUAUGGAAUGCAUAGGAUCUAAGUAUCAAGGAACUGGCUGAAUAGAUCAGCUUGAGAAGGGAAUGGUACGCAUAAAAGAAGAUCUAUCUUUGAAGCAUAUUUUAGAUGAGAUAGAGACGGGUGGUCCUACUGCUAUGAUGAGGUUUGGAUGGCAAAAUUUCUUAUCUUUUUGGCCAUUUCAAAAUUUCUAUCAGUUCAAUGUUUUCCAAAUUUUAAAUAGUUUCUAAAGUGUUUCAGGUUGUUUGUGCAAUUUGUAACACUGAGCAGCCGGUAAGUAUUUUCUUCCAACUUAUUUCUUGGAGAUGGACUAGGCUGAAUUUGAUGCAUAAUUCCAGCUAGGAAUUGUUAAUAUUUUUACUUCCUCAAUGAUGCUGAAUGUUUUUUUAAUCAAUUUGCAGAUAGGAAAACAACAGAUUCAUUGUGAUGAGUGUGAAAUCUGUAGGGUUGGUGGUCAAGAGAACUAUUUCCACUGUGAAAAGUGUGGUAUGCAUUCAUCAUUCAAUCAGCAUUGUGCAUUUUUUUUCUUUCCCUUUUGUUUGUUUUUCCUAAGCUUGUCCAUACUUUAUUUUUCUGUGAAUAAUUAGAAGAGUUUACUGCUUUCAGGCUUUGGUUUAUCAGUAUCAUUGAAUAAUUUUUAAAUUUAGUCCUUGAUCAAUGGCAUGCAAGGUCAUGCUAUUCAUAGAAUAAUUUUUUGUGAA